rnacentral:tRNA from 1 species
GGAAGUGUAGCUCAGUGGUAGAGCAUAUUCAUAACAUGUACAAGGCCCUAGAUUCAAACCCUAAUACUGCAA